CACGAGCGGCGAACGGGUGAGUAACACGUGAGUAAUCUGCCCCCCUCUUCGGGAUAAGCUUCGGAAACGGGGUCUAAUACCGGAUAUGACGACUACCUGCAUGGGUGGUUGUGGAAAGUUUUUCGGUGGGGGAUGUGCUCGCGGCCUAUCAGCUUGUUGGUGGGGUAAUGGCCUACCAAGGCUUCGACGGGUAGCCGGCCUGAGAGGGUGACCGGCCACACUGGGACUGAGACACGGCCCAGACUCCUACGGGAGGCAGCAGUGGGGAAUAUUGGACAAUGGGCGGAAGCCUGAUCCAGCAACGCCGCGUGAGGGAUGACGGCCUUCGGGUUGUAAACCUCUUUCAGUACCGACGAAGCGAGAGUGACGGUAGGUACAGAAGAAGCACCGGCCAACUACGUGCCAGCAGCCGCGGUAAUACGUAGGGUGCGAGCGUUGUCCGGAAUUAUUGGGCGUAAAGGGCUCGUAGGCGGUUUGUCGCGUCGGGAGUGAAAACACCGGGCUUAACUCGGUGCUUGCUUCCGAUACGGGCAGACUAGAGGCAUUCAGGGGAGAACGGAAUUCCUGGUGUAGCGGUGAAAUGCGCAGAUAUCAGGAGGAACACCGGUGGCGAAGGCGGNUCUCUGGGAAUGUCCUGACGCUGAGGAGCCAA
rnacentral:rRNA from 1 species